UGUUGGAACAGAAACAUAGUGCGUUGAAGACCCAUCGACCCCUGGCAGGCACUGGCCCCGAGGCUGCCACAGAAACCCCGAACAUGACUCCUGCGUCCUGGGCCCUGGUCCUGCCUGCUGGGCCUCAGGGAUAAGUUUGGUUACAGAUGUCG